rnacentral:rRNA from 1 species
AGAGUUUGAUCCUGGCUCAGGAUGAACGCUAGCGGUGCGCCUAACACAUGCAAGUCGAGCGAGAAGAUGGAGUAGCUUGCUACAAAGUUGGAAAGCGGCGAACGGGCGAGUAACACGUUGGUAUCUGCCCCUUGGUCAGGGAUAGCCAGUCGAAAGACUGAUUAAUACCGGAUAGUCUCUUCGGAGUAAAGAUUUAUUGCCAAGGGAGGAACCUGCGUCCUAUCAGCUAGUUGGUGAGGUAAAAGCUCACCAAGGCAAUGACGGGUAGCGGGUGUGAGAGCACGGCCCGCGACAUCGAAACUGAGACACUGUUCGGACUCCUACGGGAGGCUGCAGUAACGAAUCUUCCGCAAUGGGCGAAAGCCUGACGGAGCAAUGCCGCGUGUGGGAUGAAGCGUCUAUGACGUGUAAACCACUGUCAGGGAAUAGAAACAAUGAUCGUUCCCAAAGGAAGUGGCGACUAACUCUGUGCCAGCAGCCGCGGUAA